rnacentral:rRNA from 1 species
ACGCUCGACACCUACGGGGGCAGCAGUGGGGAAUAUUGCACAAUGGAGGAAACUCUGAUGCAGCGAUGCCGCGUGAGGGAAGAAGGUUUUCGGAUUGUAAACCUCUGUCUUUGGGGACGAUAAUGACGGUACCCAAGGAGGAAGCUCCGGCUAACUACGUGCCAGCAGCCGUGGUAAUCUGAGCGGGCUGGCAAGGC